ACACCAGACUUCGUGCACGCACAUAAAUAAAGAAAUAAAUACAAGCAGCGCGAGGGCAAAACGAAAAAUUAAAUAACGCAACAAAAAAUCGAGAAUCGACCGUCGCAAAUAAUUAGUAACUAGUGCUAGUGCGCUUUGGAAAACUGCCGCUCGCAAACUGAAAAGCAGCGCUAAAACUAGCGAAAGCGUCUUGCAAGAGGUCGUCGGCAUAGCAAUCUACAUAAUCACUUACACAUGCAUACAUAUUCACAAAGGAGGAACAACCCUCGCUAAAACCGCGACAUGUCGUGUAGCCGCCGGCCGGCAUCUCGUGACCACACAGUCUCAGUCAUUCAGCUGUUGGAUGGCUUUCAGCUGUUCGUGACACUGAAAUAUUAUUGUUGUUGCUUCCCUACUGUAGGGAGAGUGAGUGCAUCGCACUAUAACGAACAAAUGCUACGGUACUCACAUUAUUAAAUCUUUCCUGUAAGUGGGAAAGCGCUUCUUCUAGUUCGACAAUCCGAUUUUCCAGUACCUCCUGCGAAGAGAGCAGAAAAGAGAGAGAAAGAGAGUGCCAGAGAUAGCAAAACAAUAAACGAUGAGUUUUAAUGAAAUUUUGUUACACAAAUAUUAAUGUUUACUUUUUAGGUUA